CCAGCACCCAUUCUCUGCCUCACAUGCAUCAUCACUCCUUCUUCGGCCCUGUCUUCCUUCUCCAUGGCUUCCAUCACAAAAAACUGUCACCUCUCUUCAUCCAGGCUUUGGUGAAAGUUCCAAGUCAGAUCCAGUUUGUGUUAUGUGGUCCACAUACAAGAUAAGAGAGAGAGAGAGAGAGAGAGAGAGAGAGAGAGAGAGAGAGAGAGAGAGAGAGAGAGAGAGAAAAAAAGUCCUGUGAUUCUUCAAGACUAAGGUUUAGUGCAAGGACAUGGGAGAAACUCAGGUGUUCCUGCUACAGCUGAUGCCGUGAAAUUGGGUCAUUCAGAGUAGAAGUCACAGGAGCUCCAUCAGGAACAAGUAAGUCACAGGAGCUCUGGGAAGAGCCAGCUUCAGCACAUGGCCUGUAGCAGGUUUUCAGCAAAGGAAGGCGAAGUACCAAUGAAGCCAGGACACACUAUCGAACUCCAGAACGGGAAGGAGACAAGGAGAAGAGGGUUGAAAACAUUCCCACUGGCUCAAGGAAACAGAUUCUGAAGAGAAGGCAGUGCCUCUUCACCUCAGCAAUGCCAGAAAGCAGACCAGGCAUGGUGGCUCACACCUGUAAUCAGGAAGGAGACAGCCGAUGUUAUAGAUGGGAAUAUUCACAGAGACACCCUGUAAGAGAAUAACAAAGCUGGAAACAACCAAAAUAUCCUGAGACUGGAGUGUGAAUAGUGAAGUCCUGGGGAUCACGGCACAGCAGGAGCAGCAUGCACCGCAUUAAUUCCGGAAGACACCGUUCAGAAGAGGCGAACUGUGGCAGAGUUUAUCCAGCACGGUUAUUUAUAUAAAGUUCCACAACACGUAAAAGCUAAAAGAAUAUGCUACUUAGAUAAAAAAAAUUAGCCUGACUGUAAAACUACCAAUGAGAGGAAAACCACACUCAUGUACCCCAAAUUCAAUAAAAUGAUUAAACUUGGGGACCCAU